rnacentral:ribozyme from 14 species
ACGAAAAAACAAAAGGCCAAAAAAGUUACAAAUUGGGGUUACACUUUGGUGCAAUCUUUUUUCAUUUUCAUUUUUUCUUUUGUUGUUAGCCUUGUUGG